UCAGAAAACAUAUUCCAUGUGGAAGGGUAAAACGGUCACUUUAACAUCCACCUCUGAACACGGUUUGAAAAAGGUCUCGAGUGCCGGCGAAACCUACCUCUCUCUCUCUCUCUCUAGACUCCAAUCCAUGCCACCGCCGCUAUCCUCAUCCCCACCACCCUCAUAGCUUCGUUGCCUGCUCUCCUUAACGUCUAACUGUCUCAGCAUCACUAAGCGUAACCGCUGAUUCAACCACCACCGAGCCUCUCGCACGGAUUGAAUCACUAUCGGGCGUACUAGGUUGCCAGUGGUGAGAUGAAGGCAAAGGCAAACUCGUUGUCAUCUUAGCUCAACACUUCGACAUCGUUGCUCGCUGUCAGUUGCAAAGUUUAAGCCUUUCUUUGGUUUGUGGUGGAGCUAAUGCUGGAAACACUAUAUACAACAAGAAGUUUGCUUUACACCUUGUGCCUUGAGGAGGACACCACUUGUGUGAUUGGCAAUGGAGUUGUGGUUCAUUUACCAGGUCUAUUCAAAGAGAUUGAGCCUCUUGUCUCCUGUAAAGGAAUGAUCUUGCUCUUAGACCGUGCUCAUCUCUUGUUUGAUUUCCAUUAAGAGAUUGAUGGUCUCCGCUUGCAAAGUCAUCCAUCGGCACAACCAAGAGAGGGAUCGGUCUUUGCUACACUAGUAUAUUGUAAUCAAUGAAUGCAUUGUGAUGAAUGAUGAUCUUGUUUUGUUAGGUAAAAGCGAGAGUUGGUUCAGGAUAAAAUGGUGGUGAACUUCUUAGGUUGACAGGAGUUUGGCACAAAAACUGGUCGUCCUCGUCGGAAAUCAAUGGAAAGCUUGAUGUACUUUCUGACCUAGAAGAAAUCCAGCUUGGUGUGGCUUAUAAGAAGAGUGAUGGCACUCGUGUUGAAUCCUUCCCUGGUGAUCUUAGAACUGCACCUAAUUGUUGAUCUCUUGUAGUAUCUGUUAAAGUCUUGAAACUCUGUUUAAAUGUGAAAAUGUAUGAAGUGUUACCUGGAUGGAAGUCUGAUCUUCCAAAGGCUGCACAGCAAUAUGUUGAGAGAAUUGAAGAACUCGUGGGUGUGCCCAUUCAUUACAUUGGUAUUGGUAUUGGACCUGGUCGUGAUGCCCUUAUACAUAAAUGAGGGCUUUUUUUUUGGCUCUUCCACACAGACUAAUGUAUCUCUUGCAUUGUUUGAAGAGUAAUAAGGAAUGAGUUUGUUGAA